rnacentral:rRNA from 1 species
AUUGAACGCUGGCGGCAGGCUUAACACAUGCAAGUCGAGCGAGCGGCGGACGGGUGAGUAAUGUCUGGGAAACUGCCUGAUGGAGGGGGAUAACUACUGGAAACGGUAGCUAAUACCGCAUACCAUCAGAUGUGCCCAGAUUGGUUUAGCUAGUAGGUGGGGUAAUGGCUCACCAAGGCGACGAUCCCUAGCUGGGCGCAGAGGAUGACCAGCCACACUGGAACGGAGACACGGUCCAGACUCCUACGGGAGGCAGCAGGGGGGAAUAUUGCACAAUGGGCUCAAGCCUGAUGCAGCCAUGCCGCGGGUGUGAAGAAGGCCUUCGGGUUGUAAAGCACUGUCAGCGAGGAGGCGUGACUCGAAGAAGAAGCACCGGCUAACUCCGUGCCAGCAGCCGCGGUAAUAG